GAAUUUUGGACAAUGGGGGCAACCCUGAUCCAGCCAUCCCGCGUGUGCGAUGAAGGCCUUCGGGUUGUAAAGCACUUUUGGCAGGGAAGAACAGGCUCUGGCUAAUACCUGGAGCUGCUGACGGUACCUGCAGAAUCAGCAACGGCCAACUACGUACCAGCAGCCGCGGUAAUACGUCGGGUGCAAGCGUUAAUCGGAAUUACUGGGCGGAAAGCGUGCGCAGGCGGUUCGGCAAGAAGGAUGUGAAAUCCCAGGGCUUAACCUUGGAACUGCAUUCUUAACUGCCGGGCUAGAGUAUGUCAGAGGGGGGUAGAAUUCCGCGUGUAGCAGUGAAAUGCGUAGAGAUGCGGAGGAAUACCGAUGGCGAAGGCAGCCCCCUGGGAUAAUACCGACGCUCAUGCACGAAAGCGUGGGGAGCAAAC
rnacentral:rRNA from 1 species